rnacentral:pre_miRNA from 1 species
CUAGUACUCCCUCCGUCUGAAAAUAGUUGUCAUCAAAAUGAAUAAAAAAGAUGUAUUUAGAACUAAAAUACAUCUAGAUACAUCCCCUUUUAUUCAUUUUGAUGACAAGUAUUUCCGGACGGAGGGAGUAGUAC